ACGAGAGUAGUUCAAUUGGCAGAGCAGCGGUCUCCAAAACCGCAAGUUGGGGGUUCGAAUCCCUCCUCUCGUGCUA
rnacentral:tRNA from 1 species